rnacentral:rRNA from 1 species
CUUGCGACUUAGUGGCGGACGGGUGAGUAACGCGUGGGUAACCUGCCUCACACAGGGGGAUAACAGUUGGAAACGACCGCUAAUACCGCAUAACCCGCUAGGGCCGCAUGGCCCGGACGGAAAAGAUUUAUCGGUGUGAGAUGGACCCGCGUUGGAUUAGCUAGUUGGCAGGGUAACGGCCUACCAAGGCGACGAUCCAUAGCCGGCCUGAGAGGGUGAACGGCCACAUUGGGACUGAGACACGGCCCAA